GAUGAACGCUGGCGGCGUGCCUAAUACAUGCAAGUCGAGCGAACAGACGAGGAGCUUGCUCCUCUGACGUUAGCGGCGGACGGGUGAGUAACACGUGGAUAACCUACCUAUAAGACUGGGAUAACUUCGGGAAACCGGAGCUAAUACCGGAUAAUAUAUUGAACCGCAUGGUUCAAUAGUGAAAGACGGUUUUGCUGUCACUUAUAGAUGGAUCCGCGCCGCAUUAGCUAGUUGGUAAGGUAACGGCUUACCAAGGCAACGAUGCGUAGCCGACCUGAGAGGGUGAUCGGCCACACUGGAACUGAGACACGGUCCAGACUCCUACGGGAGGCAGCAGUAGGGAAUCUUCAGCAAUGGCCGAAAGCCUGACGGAGCAACGCCGCGUGAGUGAUGAAGGUCUUCGGAUCGUAAAACUCUGUUAUUAGGGAAGAACAAAUGUGUAAGUAACUAUGCACGUCUUGACGGUACCUAAUCAGAAAGCCACGGCUAACUACGUG
rnacentral:rRNA from 1 species